GCGCCCCUGGCAGCACAUAUUCUAAAACUGGAAUGAUACAGAGAAGGUUAGCACGGGCCCUGCACAAGGAUGACACAUAAGUUCUGUGAAUAUCUAUAAUAAGUA
ensembl:snRNA U6 U6 spliceosomal RNA